UGCUUGAGCUCAACUACAGUUCACAACUUUAUGUGGUCCCAGUUUGAAGUAAACUGAACCAAACUUUUGCAUACAUGUCAAUGGCAGGUGCUGAUACCUUCCCGUGAUGGAAGUUUAUACUCUUUUGAUAUUACAUCUGGUGAUCUUCUUUGGUCAUAUGACUUCGGCGACCCAAUUACUGCAUCUGCUUUUGUUGAUGAAGUGUUAGCAUCAACACCAUCUGGAACAUCAGAGAGAUUUGCUUGUAUCUGCACAAGUUCUGGGAAGGUCCGUGUCCUUGGGAUUAGAGCUGAUGCUGAGCAGGGGAAAGUUGGUUACUCUGUGCAAGAGUUUGCAGCCAUGGAUCUUCCUGGGGACAUCUUCUCAUCUCCCUUGAUGGUGGGUGGGCGCAUCUUUGUUGGCUGCAGAGAUGAUCGACUACAUUGUCUCUCAAUCACUAAUCCAUUUAACUGAAGUGAAUAGCACACAAUUUAGUUUCCCUUGCUACACCAAGCUGCUCAGCAUGGUAUCUUAAUCCUUAUGUGGUUCUGCAGCAAGAGACUUGUUCUUUUGGUAAGAUGCACAGUACUCAGAUAUCAGACACAUCCAGUCGAACUGUCAACAAAGAUAUGCAGAAGGUACUGGUGCUUGGGUUCCAAAGGUUGGAUUUCCACGCCAUAAACCUUUGGUUAAGUGCUCGAUAUUCAGUAUCACAAUCAGAUUACAACCUUGGUGCUAUCCCGAGUGUACUGGGUUCAAAAGCGGAAGCAGAGCCAUAAACGGCCCUCGCUCCUUUUCUGCGGAAAAUACACCUUCAAGCUUGGUCGAUGUACUAAUCAGUCUCUUUUUAUGCAUCAGGAUGAUUGUUUUUUCUUAGGAAGAGCAGAAUUGUUUGUCGAGAGCAACAUGUUGCAUUUGUACAUAAGCUGAUGUAUGAAGGCAGUGUAGAAAUAUAUGCAACUUUAAGGAGGUAAAACCCUAUGUCAUGCUCUUGCCUAUAUUAUGGGUGUAUCAAAGUACAGAGUUCAUCUA